AUGAAGCUGGAUUCGCUAGUAAUCGCGCAUCAGCCACGGCGCGGUGAAUACGUUCCCGGGCCUUGUACACACCGCCCGUCAAGCCAUGGAAGCCGGGGGUGCCUGAAGUGCGCUGCCGCAAGGAGCGCCCUAGGGUAAAACCGGUGACUGGGGCUAAGUCGUAACAAGGUAAC
rnacentral:rRNA from 1 species